GUAAUGACUGCCCUAAACAGUCAUGAAACUUUUGUUUAAAACAUUUGAAAUACUUUUAAACACAUGAUCUCAUUUGUUUUCACAAAAUCUUUGUAGUAUACAUUAGGACAAAACUUAUGUUUCCUUUUUAGUAGUGAUGGGAAAAUCAAGCAAACUUAGGAAACAGGAAGAGAAAACGCCCUCCAAUCUGCAUUAAUAGGAUGAACUAGAAAGCUUUUGAACUGCAUUUUUUAAUGUUUUUCUUAAUUGCUGUUUGAAUUUCAUUGGAAAUGUUUGAAAUUGAAUUCUGUGCUGGAAAUAUUUUCAAAUUCAGCUUUGGUUACACUGAGGCAGGCAUAUUUUUAUAUACUAUAUACAGCCCCGCAGUACAUAGCUGUAUAUUCUCGUUGUGAGUACCUCUGGCUGUGCUGUGUGGGACGCCACCUCAGCAUGUCCUGAUGAGCGGUGCCAUGUCCACACCCAGGAUCCGAACCCAUGAAACCCUGGGCCAUCGGGGCGGAGCAUGUGAACCCAACCACUUGGCCCUGGGGCCGGCCUCUAAAAUACAUUUUAAAUAUAACUUAUAAAAUGAGUUAAAUAUAUUGUUUAUGCUUACUAUAAAUGCUUACAUUUUGUGAUUAUUUAAGGGCUGUUUAAAAGUUUAUGAAUUUUACAAAACUUCGGUUUCAUUCCGACUUUCUUUUUCUGCUUUGUUUCUUAAAAGUUGGCAAAGGUGACCAAGAAAAAUAUGAAACAAUCCCCUGGAUCAGAGGGGAUGAUUUUUUCACACUACUCUGCCCAACAAUUUGGUUUACAGGAGAAGAAGGAAAGCCCAAGAAACUGCUUCAGCAACCGAAUAUCCACGCCUUGAGGAUUUCUCUGUGUGUCCCCCAGAAAGUUUUAGUUGUUCUGUCAGAGGCAAGGGUUCAUUGCUCCCUUUUCUAGUCACUCUGCUGUUGCAUUUAUUUUUCUGAUUUUAUUUGAGUCCACUUCUUGCUUUUCUAUUUUUACCUCCUGGCUUCUGCUUACUCUUGAUAUCUACUUUCUCAUAGUUCUUGCUUAUUUAUUUGUUUCUGUGAGUCUCUUAGAUUCCUUUACUCUUUGGUCCUUCUCUACUUGGAUUGGAUAGUAGUUGUCAAUUUUAGUAUGACCUUGUAAGUUCAGAACACUCAAAUCAAGACACCAUUCUGGUAUUUCAUGCAGCAGGAGACAAUGAGUGUGGACAAAACUCAGAAUCAUGGUUAGCUCUCCAGAAACUCCAUUCUGAAGUUCAUUAUUAAUCAUUCUCAGAUGUACUCAGAUAUAUUCUGACUUUAAAAUAUUAUAACUGAGUAUCUAGUUUGUGACAGGAAGGGUAGGAAGGAAAAAGACCCUUCACACAGGUGAAAUUCUGAAGCCACAACAUUACCUUUCUUCUGCUUUGCUUGCUGUCUGACCACUUACACAGAGGCCUUGAAUGGUAUUUGAAUGUAUAUCAUUUAAAUGAAUGUGCACAAUUUGUUGAAGUCAAUAAAUAAUUAAUAUGGUAUACUGUCUAUUAAAAUUUAUUUUAAAUCUCUCA
rnacentral:lncRNA from 1 species